UCAUGAUUUGGCAACAUUUGGGUUGUUCUGUUGGGUUAGAAGGCAUACGUAGAAACAUAUCCAAAUUUUGCAAUCCGAAAUAAUACCCAAAGUCAGCUUUGUUUUUUGGAACUUAGCUUUCCUGACGGCCUUUUCCCCUCAACCAGGAACUGUGCAGAACGACAUUUGCUUAGCCAGCGACCAAUGCAACAUGCAGAAGGAGUGCAUUAGAAAGGAGGAGCCAAGCAUUCCACGUGCAGGAAAGGUCUCUGAGCUUAUAAUUCUGAACAUGGAAGCAGCCCUGCAGACUUUCCCCCUGCAAACGUAUGUUAAGAAACCCCUAUGCUCUUGGUGGGACCCACAAAUACAGGGAAAUCUGCGAUCACCAACAGCUUUGUGAUUCAGUGCCCAAAGACCAAGUACACUCCGAGACCAAGUUUCUCUGGCAGAACCACAGCCAGUAGGAUCCAGGACAUUAAUAUGUCCAAACUGGUCAGGGGAAGAAAGGCACUUUUUGGUCCACCCGCUGGGGAAAAGGCUGUUGCAUUCGUAGGUUGGAACGUUCCUUAUGAAUUCAAUGAAUCUGAUCUGAGACUCAGUAUGCGGCAGAUCCAGAUGUUUCUGGAUGAAUAUGUAGAAACCUCAUUUGAAGCUCUCACAUA